CAGGCGAAUUUAAAUGUUCGAGAAUUGACUAUGUUUUGUAUAUUUACAUUUAGAGUUUCUGGGCAAAGGUUUUUUGUUCAGGUUGAUUUGUCUUGAUACUUUUAAUGUAUGAAAGCUCAGGGAAGUUUUUGUUGAAAAUUAAUUUGUACCUUUUAUUGUUACUAAUUUUAACACCAAACUUCUGUUUCAAGUUAUAAACACAAUUUUUUAAUGCUAAAUCAUAUUACAUCUGCUUCGUUCUCGUAGAAAAAAAAUGGUUAAAAAUAAAAAAAAAACAAAUAAAAGUUCACCACGUAACGUAGCACCGCUUUUUGGGAUAAUUUAGCUUCACUUUAUUCUUCAAACACCUUAAACAUGUACGUUUACAAAUCGCUUAAACGUAGCCCCGUUUCACGCAUGUAGGUGUCUUUGAACAUCACCGAUACUCAAUAAAAAGGGUGCGCGAAAGCAAAGAAAAAAGAGGGAAGGUGUCGUUCCAUAUUAUCGAUUUAGCACAUGAUAGCGUUUUAUUGACUUUCUCUCUGUUGCUAUCGUUUACGUGCCGUGUAGUUUCGCGAUAGGCACGUACUGUUGUUGUGUAUCGCAUCUGGGAAGGAUUGCGUGCCCUGUCAUCAAGGUACUUCAAAGUAACGGAUCUAUGCUUUGUUCGUCACGUGUCUGAAUCAAGGGCUGAUAGGUGUGUAUCUAUGAUAGACGCGAAGAUGGUUGUGAUUGUGUCGUUCAGGUUUGAAGCAGUUUAUUUCCGGUGUUUGGUGAGAGAUACACUCAAUGGUGCGAAUCUUUUGAUUGCCCAAGAUCUCUAAUGGUGUGCGGAAAAUGGGUCGAUCGGACAGCUGCUAGAGCACGGGGGGAACCCAUACUGUGCAUUUGUUCCUAACGUAACCUGAUCACUCUACGGUACGAAACCCAGCAAUACAUCGUCCGAUUAUUUAUUGACUCAAUAAGGAUUUUAUUUGAUCUGAAUGGAUGAAAGUUCAGCAGGAAUCAACUGACAUAGCGGUCGCCGUUGGAAAGCUGCUCAACAACUAUGCUCAUCCGUACGAACCACCCAGUAAACUAUCCGUGAUCGUCAGCACAUUAUGAAACACGGUUCUUCCAACGAGAACGUUUCGUUUGAGCGUGCAGAGUACGGUAAGCUACGAGUAAAGUUGAAAAGAAAAACUGACACUUCCAGCAAACAUGCACUUCAAUUCGAAUGCCCCAGAUUGAGCACGUACAAAUAAUAAAUCACUGCUUAUUUGCUAAACGCAUUUUUGGGGGAUUUUGGAAAUCGUUUACGACGUUCGCUAGAGUGUUUUCAGACCGUUUGACCGAACACUUCUGAUCGGGAAGUACAUCAUUCCCGCUCUUGAAAUCGUUCCACACGGAAAUCAAUCGUUCAGAAACCACCAAACGUCACGAUAAACGUAAUUGCGUUCCUUUAGAAAAGUGUACUUCUUUUGACAAACUCGAGAUAAAUCGUCUUUUUUUUUAGUGGUCCAGAGGAAAACUGAACUUG